rnacentral:lncRNA from 1 species
CACAAGUCUGAGAUGAAAGAGCCUCUGGGAUCCAAUGGUGAUAACAGGGACUGAUUCUCUUCCGCGCGGUCCUAAUUGCUGACACGACCUUGGCCUUCCAAAAUGUUGCUUCCAGAAUACCAACCUGUCAGGACCCUGGAGAGAAACCGCCACAAACGGGCAUGUGGGAGCUUAGUUCCCCAACCGGGGAUCGAACCUGCACCCCCUACAUUGGCAGCAUGGAGUCUUUCGUCUCAAUGAUUCCAGCCACAUUUGAGGUCCCAGUCUGACUUGGAGCCCUACAAGCUGAGGUUUCUCAGCCACCCACAGAUUUGCCCAGCCCAGGACUACAGGAAGCGGACGCAGUUCUUCCCCAGCCCGGGCGUUGACAAGCUCAGCUAGACGGGAGCAUCGUUCGGUUUCCUCCCCUGCCAUCGUGGAUUUGUGACCGCUAUUGCUCCACUGUGGUCACCUGACGUCAAGGGGUCCCCCGGAAGCCUAUGUCUAAUGCUAAUUGAAGACAGGAAGCCUAUUCCAUGUAACUUCCUUCGUCUCAGCACAGAACUCCUUAUGCCCUGACUCCUUAAAACGCACACCCAACCCUCAGGUAAGGGUGCAGGUUCACCAGGUUGUCCAAUAAAUCACAAAGCUUAAGGAAGCCAGGGCUGAAAUUUUUUGAGUCUGUAAUGAAGUAUGGUGAGAAUAUAGGUCUCAUUGGUUACCUACUCAUCUAAUCAUCUGUGUAUUUUUAUAAACAAAACUUCGGUGUUCCUUUAAAGUCGUGUGGCUGUCAGGAAGGAAGCAGCUGAUGUCAUUUGUUUUUCUAAAAGGCAUCAAGAGUGUUGACGAGGUCUUAAGCUGUAGGAAAACACUGGUAUACAUGCCAUUUGCCAUCCUCUAGUGUGAGCUGUGCUGGUAGGAAGGAGGAAUUGGUUA